GAUGAACGCUGGCGGCGUGCCUAAUACAUGCAAGUCGAACGAGUUCUCGUUGAUGAUCGGUGCUUGCACCGAGAUUCAACAUGGAACGAGUGGCGGACGGGUGAGUAACACGUGGGUAACCUGCCCUUAAGUGGGGGAUAACAUUUGGAAACAGAUGCUAAUACCGCAUAGAUCCAAGAACCGCAUGGUUCUUGGCUGAAAGAUGGCGUAAGCUAUCGCUUUUGGAUGGACCCGCGGCGUAUUAGCUAGUUGGUGAGGUAAUGGCUCACCAAGGCGAUGAUACGUAGCCGAACUGAGAGGUUGAUCGGCCACAUUGGGACUGAGACACGGCCCAAACUCCUACGGGAGGCAGCAGUAGGGAAUCUUCCACAAUGGACGCAAGUCUGAUGGAGCAACGCCGCGUGAGUGAAGAAGGCUUUCGGGUCGUAAAACUCUGUUGUUGGAGAAGAAUGGUCGGCAGAGUAACUGUUGUCGGCGUGACGGUAUCCAACCAGAAAGCCACGGCUAACUACGUGCCAGCAGCCGCGGUAAUACGUAGGUGGCAAGCGUUAUCCGGAUUUAUUGGGCGUAAAGCGAGCGCAGGCGGUUUUUUAAGUCUGAUGUGAAAGCCCUCGGCUUAACCGAGGAAGCGCAUCGGAAACUGGGAAACUUGAGUGCAGAAGAGGACAGUGGAACUCCAUGUGUAGCGGUGAAAUGCGUAGAUAUAUGGAAGAACACCAGUGGCGAAGGCGGCUGUCUGGUCUGUAACUGACGCUGAGGCUCGAAAGCAUGGGUAGCGAACAGGAUUAGAUACCCUGGUAGUCCAUGCCGUAAACGAUGAAUGCUAGGUGUUGGAGGGUUUCCGCCCUUCAGUGCCGCAGCUAACGCAUUAAGCAUUCCGCCUGGGGAGUACGACCGCAAGGUUGAAACUCAAAGGAAUUGACGGGGGCCCGCACAAGCGGUGGAGCAUGUGGUUUAAUUCGAAGCAACGCGAAGAACCUUACCAGGUCUUGACAUCUUUCGAUCACCUGAGAGAUCAGGCUUCCCCUUCGGGGGCAAAAUGACAGGUGGUGCAUGGUUGUCGUCAGCUCGUGUCGUGAGAUGUUGGGUUAAGUCCCGCAACGAGCGCAACCCUUAUGACUAGUUGCCAGCAUUUAGUUGGGCACUCUAGUAAGACUGCCGGUGACAAACCGGAGGAAGGUGGGGAUGACGUCAAAUCAUCAUGCCCCUUAUGACCUGGGCUACACACGUGCUACAAUGGAUGGUACAACGAGUUGCGAGACCGCGAGGUCAAGCUAAUCUCUUAAAGCCAUUCUCAGUUCGGACUGUAGGCUGCAACUCGCCUACACGAAGUCGGAAUCGCUAGUAAUCGCGGAUCAGCACGCCGCGGUGAAUACGUUCCCGGGCCUUGUACACACCGCCCGUCACACCAUGAGAGUUUGUAACACCCGAAGCCGGUGGCGUAACCCUUUUAGGGAGCGAGCCGUCUAAGGUGGGACAAAUGAUUAGGGUG
rnacentral:rRNA from 2 species